rnacentral:rRNA from 1 species
UACGUAGGGGGCAAGCGUUGUCCGGAUUUACUGGGCGUAAAGAGCGUGUAGGCGGCCACGCAGGUCCGUUGUGAAAACUGGAGGCUCAACCUCCAGCUGUCGACGGAAACCGUAUGGCUAGAGUCCGGAAGAGGAGAGUGGAAUUCCUGGUGUAGCGGUGAAAUGCGCAGAUAUCAGGAAGAACACCGGUGGCGAAGGCGGAUCUCUGGGCCUGUUCUGACGCUGAGGCGCGAAAGCUAGGGGAGCGAACAGG